GGGUUGUGAGGUUAAGCGACUAAGCGUACACGGUGGAUGCCCUGGCAGUCAGAGGCGAUGAAGGACGUGCUAAUCUGCGAAAAGCGUCGGUAAGGUGAUAUGAACCGUUAUAGCCGGCGAUGUCCGAAUGGGGAAACCCAGUGCAAUUCGUUGCACUAUCGUUAACUGAAUACAUAGGUUAACGAGGCGAACCGGGGGAACUGAAACAUCUAAGUACCCCGAGGAAAAGAAAUCAACCGAGAUUCCCCCAGUAGCGGCGAGCGAACGGGGAGCAGCCCAGAGUCUGAAUCAGCUUGUGUGUUAGUGGAACGGUCUGGAAAGUCCGACGGUACAGGGUGAUAGUCCCGUACACCAAAAUGCACAGGCUGUGAACUCGAAGAGUAGGGCGGGACACGUGGUAUCCUGUCUGAAUAUGGGGGGACCAUCCUCCAAGGCUAAAUACUCCUGACUGACCGAUAGUGAACCAGUACCGUGAGGGAAAGGCGAAAAGAACCCCGGCGAGGGGAGUGAAAAAGAACCUGAAACCGUGUACGUACAAGCAGUGGGAGCACCUUCGGGUGUGACUGCGUACCUUUUGUAUAAUGGGUCAGCGACUUAUAUUCUGUAGCAAGGUUAACCGUAUAGGGGAGCCGCAGGGAAACCGAGUCUUAACUGGGCGUUAAGUUGCAGGGUAUAGACCCGAAACCCGGUGAUCUAGCCAUGGGCAGGUUGAAGGUUGGGUAACACUAACUGGAGGACCGAACCGACUAAUGUUGAAAAAUUAGCGGAUGACUUGUGGCUGGGGGUGAAAGGCCAAUCAAACCGGGAGAUAGCUGGUUCUCCCCGAAAGCUAUUUAGGUAGCGCCUCGUGAACUCAUCUUCGGGGGUAGAGCACUGUUUCGGCUAGGGGGUCAUCCCGACUUACCAACCCGAUGCAAACUACGAAUACCGAAGAAUGUUAUCACGGGAGACACACGGCGGGUGCUAACGUCCGUCGUGAAGAGGGAAACAACCCAGACCGCCAGCUAAGGUCCCAAAGUCAUGGUUAAGUGGGAAACGAUGUGGGAAGGCACAGACAGCCAGGAUGUUGGCUUAGAAGCAGCCAUCAUUUAAAGAAAGCGUAAUAGCUCACUGGUCGAGUCGGCCUGCGCGGAAGAUGUAACGGGGCUAAACCAUGCACCGAAGCUGCGGCAGCGACACUAUGUGUUGUUGGGUAGGGGAGCGUUCUGUAAGCCUGCGAAGGUGUGCUGUGAGGCAUGCUGGAGGUAUCAGAAGUGCGAAUGCUGACAUAAGUAACGAUAAAGCGGGUGAAAAGCCCGCUCGCCGGAAGACCAAGGGUUCCUGUCCAACGUUAAUCGGGGCAGGGUGAGUCGACCCCUAAGGCGAGGCCGAAAGGCGUAGUCGAUGGGAAACAGGUUAAUAUUCCUGUACUUGGUGUUACUGCGAAGGGGGGACGGAGAAGGCUAUGUUAGCCGGGCGACGGUUGUCCCGGUUUAAGCAUGUAGGCUGAUUGUCCAGGCAAAUCCGGAUAAUCAAGGCUGAGGUGUGAUGACGAGGCACUACGGUGCUGAAGUAACAAAUGCCCUGCUUCCAGGAAAAGCCUCUAAGCAUCAGGUAACAUCAAAUCGUACCCCAAACCGACACAGGUGGUCAGGUAGAGAAUACCAAGGCGCUUGAGAGAACUCGGGUGAAGGAACUAGGCAAAAUGGUGCCGUAACUUCGGGAGAAGGCACGCUGGUGUGUAGGUGAAGCCCCUGCGGGUGGAGCUGAGACCAGUCGAAGAUACCAGCUGGCUGCAACUGUUUAUUAAAAACACAGCACUGUGCAAACACGAAAGUGGACGUAUACGGUGUGACGCCUGCCCGGUGCCGGAAGGUUAAUUGAUGGGGUUAUCCGUAAGGAGAAGCUCUUGAUCGAAGCCCCGGUAAACGGCGGCCGUAACUAUAACGGUCCUAAGGUAGCGAAAUUCCUUGUCGGGUAAGUUCCGACCUGCACGAAUGGCGUAAUGAUGGCCAGGCUGUCUCCACCCGAGACUCAGUGAAAUUGAACUCGCUGUGAAGAUGCAGUGUACCCGCGGCAAGACGGAAAGACCCCGUGAACCUUUACUAUAGCUUGACACUGAACAUUGAGCCUUGAUGUGUAGGAUAGGUGGGAGGCUUUGAAGCGUGGACGCCAGUCUGCGUGGAGCCAACCUUGAAAUACCACCCUUUAAUGUUUGAUGUUCUAACGUUGGCCCCUUACCGGGGUUGCGGACAGUGUCUGGUGGGUAGUUUGACUGGGGCGGUCUCCUCCCAAAGCGUAACGGAGGAGCACGAAGGUUAGCUAAUCCUGGUCGGACAUCAGGAGGUUAGUGCAAUGGCAUAAGCUAGCUUGACUGCGAGCGUGACGGCGCGAGCAGGUGCGAAAGCAGGUCAUAGUGAUCCGGUGGUUCUGAAUGGAAGGGCCAUCGCUCAACGGAUAAAAGGUACUCCGGGGAUAACAGGCUGAUACCGCCCAAGAGUUCAUAUCGACGGCGGUGUUUGGCACCUCGAUGUCGGCUCAUCACAUCCUGGGGCUGAAGUAGGUCCCAAGGGUAUGGCUGUUCGCCAUUUAAAGUGGUACGCGAGCUGGGUUUAGAACGUCGUGAGACAGUUCGGUCCCUAUCUGCCGUGGGCGCUGGAGAAUUGAGGGGGGCUGCUCCUAGUACGAGAGGACCGGAGUGGACGCAUCACUGGUGUUCGGGUUGUCAUGCCAAUGGCACUGCCCGGUAGCUAAAUGCGGAAGAGAUAAGUGCUGAAAGCAUCUAAGCACGAAACUUGCCCCGAGAUGAGUUCUCCCUGAGACUUUAAGUCUCCUGAAGGAACGUUGAAGACGACGACGUUGAUAGGCCGGGUGUGUAAGCGCAGCGAUGCGUUGAGCUAACCGGUACUAAUGAACCGUGAGGCUUAACCUUACAACGCCGAAG
rnacentral:rRNA from 1 species